rnacentral:rRNA from 1 species
UACAGAGGGUGCAAGCGUUAUCCGGAUUUAUUGGGCGUAAAGCGUUUCGUAGGUUUCCAGGUAAGUUAUUCUUCAAAGACCACGGCUCAACCGGGGGAAGGGGAGUAAUACUGCUUGGAUUGGUUGUUGGUGGGGCUUCUGGAACUGAUGGUGUAGUAGUGAAAUACGUUGAUAUCAUCAGGAACUCCAAGGGCGAAGGCAGGAAGCUAACCAACUAACGACACUGAGGAACGACAGCUAGGGGAGCGAGAGGG